AGAGUUUGAUCAUGGCUCAGGAUGAACGCUGGCGGCGUGCCUAAUACAUGCAAGUCGAGCGAACAGAUGAGAAGCUUGCUUCUCUGAUGUUAGCGGCGGACGGGUGAGUAACACGUGGGUAACCUACCUAUAAGACUGGGAUAACUCCGGGAAACCGGGGCUAAUACCGGAUAAUAUUUUGAACCGCAUGGUUCAAUAGUGAAAGACGGUCUCGGCUGUCACUUAUAGAUGGACCCGCGCCGUAUUAGCUAGUUGGUAAGGUAACGGCUUACC
rnacentral:rRNA from 1 species